GAUGAACGCUAGCUACAGGCUUAACACAUGCAAGUCGAGGGGCAGCAUGAACUUAGCUUGCUAAGUUUGAUGGCGACCGGCGCACGGGUGGGUAACACGUAUCCAACCUUCCGUUUACUCAGGGAUAGCCUUUCGAAAGAAAGAUUAAUACCUGAUAGUAUGGUGAGAUUGCAUGAUAGCACCAUUAAAGAUUUAUUGGUAAACGAUGGGGAUGCGUUCCAUUAGGUAGUAGGCGGGGUAACGGCCCACCUAGCCGACGAUGGAUAGGGGUUCUGAGAGGAAGGUCCCCCACAUUGGAACUGAGACACGGUUCCAAACUCCUACGGGAGGCAGCAGUGAGGAAUAUUGGUCAAUGGGCGAGAGCCUGAACCAGCCAAGUAGCGUGAAGGAUGAAGGUCCUACGGAUUGUAAACUCUUUUAUAAGGGAUAAACCUCCACGUNUGGGAGCUUGUAUGUACCUUAUGAAUAAGCAUCGGCUAACU
rnacentral:rRNA from 1 species